rnacentral:rRNA from 1 species
AAUGAACGUUGGCGGCACGGAUUAGGCAUGCAAGUCGAGCGAGAAGGAAAUCAAAGUUUACUUUGGUUUCCGGAAAGCGGCGAAAGGGAGAGUAACGCGUAGUUAUCUACCCCAAGGCCCGGAAUAGCUGCGGGAAACUGCAGGUAAUGCCGGAUAAUAUCCCCGGAUCAAAGGUGGGAUUCCGCCUUGGGAGGAGACUGCGUUGUACUAGCUUGUUGGUAGGGUAAUGGCCUACCAAGGCUACGAUGCAUAGCGGGCGUGAGAGCGUGGCCCGUCUCACUGGGACUGAAACACUGCCCAGACACCUACGGGUGGCUGCAGUCGAGAAUCUUCGGCAAUGGGCGAAAGCCUGACCGAGCGAUGCCGCGUGCGGGAUGAAGGCCCUCGGGUUGUAAACCGCUGUCGUAGGGGAGAAAGGACCGUUGAAGAGACGGUUUUGAUCUAUCCUAGGAGGAAGUCCGGGCUAAGUUCGUG